GUGGUGUAGACCAGGGCCGGUCAGGCUUGGAGGCAGCCGCCCCCAUGGCGAGUAUGAAAGGAAGGUCCUGGACCAAUCGUUAACAGGGCUGGGAGUAGUCCGGUCAGGCGUCCCCGAACAGGCCGUCAACCCAGCGAGGAGAAGGCCGCUCAGUUAAGAUGGAUGUCUCCAAAUUGACACGCGGUUUUGCAGAACUGCUCCACGGCUCAGCUUUAGGAAGAGCGAGGCCUCCUGGGCAGAAGGAGGGACAGAGAAGGCCAGUUUGGGGGCUGCCUGCUCGGAAGACUGGAGCAUGUACUAGAGCUGCAGGCUUUCCUAAAGGCUUCAUAGCAGAAGACGAAAACAGUGAGUCCGCCCCGUUCAGGAACCCGGGAGAUGGACGCCUCCUCCACAAGCUGGCAUUUCAGUCAUUGUUUGCGUUUAUUUCUCAGCUUAAUCUCCUCUUUCAUGGCCUCCCGUUUGUUUUUAAAAAUCUAAUCUUUCUGCUCUAGCCUCUAACGCUACCUUAAAGAGCACAGAGAAUUCUUGGUAGAAGGCCUCCUCCUGAAAACAGAGAUUUUAUCUCCAGCCUCUUCCAGGAGACCAGAAACUAUCACUUGUCUGGAAAUAAAAAUCUCUCAGCUUCCAAC
ensembl:lncRNA